rnacentral:rRNA from 1 species
UACGUAGGGGGCAAGCGUUGUCCGGAAUCAUUGGGCGUAAAGCGCGUGUAGGCGGCUUGGUAAGUCCGUUCUGAAAGCCCGGGGCUCAACCCCGGGAGGCGGAUGGAUACUGUCAAGCUCGAGUCCGGAAGAGGCGAGUGGAAUUCCAGGUGUAGCGGUGAAAUGCGCAGAUAUCUGGAGGAACACCAAUGGCGAAGGCAGCUCGCUGGGACGGUACUGACGCUGAGACGCGAAAGCGUGGGGAGCAAACAGGG